rnacentral:rRNA from 1 species
GACGGAGGAUGCAAGCGUUAUCCGGAAUGAUUGGGCGUAAAGCGUCUGCAGGUGGCAGUUCAAGUCUGCUGUCAAAGACCGGGGCUUAACUUCGGAAAGGCAGUGGAAACUGAACAGCUAGAGUAUGGUAGGGGCAGAGGGAAUUCCUGGUGUAGCGGUGAAAUGCGUAGAGAUCAGGAAGAACAUCGGUGGCGAAGGCGCUCUGCUGGACCAUAACUGACACUCAGGGACGAAAGCUAGGGGAGCAAAUGGG